AUUGAACGCUGGCGGCAGGCCUAACACAUGCAAGUCGAGCGGGGUUUUCGGACCUAGCGGCGGACGGGUGAGUAAUGCGUAGGAAGCUACCCGAUAGAGGGGGAUACCAGUUGGAAACGACUGUUAAUACCGCAUAAUGUCUACGGACCAAAGUGUGGGACCUUCGGGCCACAUGCUAUCGGAUGCGCCUACGUGGGAUUAGCUUGUUUGUGAGGUAAUGGCUCACCAAGGCGACGAGCCCUAGCUGGUUGGAGAGGAUGAGCAGCCACACUGGAACUGAGCCACUGGCCAGACUCCUACGGGAGGCAGCAGUGGGGAAUAUUGGACAAUGGGCGCAAGCCUGAUCCAGCCAUGCCGCGUGUGUGAAGAAGGCCUUCGGGUUGUAAAGCACUUUCAGUAGGGAGGAAGCGUUGUGUGUUAAUAGUACACAGCGUUGACGUUACCUACAGAAGAAGCACCGGCUAACUCUGUGCCAGCAGCCGCGGUAAAAC
rnacentral:rRNA from 1 species